rnacentral:rRNA from 1 species
AGUGAACGCUGGCGGUAGGCCUAACACAUGCAAGUCGAACGGCAGCACAGUAAGAGCUUGCUCUUACGGGUGGCGAGUGGCGGACGGGUGAGGAAUACAUCGGAAUCUACUUUUUCGUGGGGGAUAACGUAGGGAAACUUACGCUAAUACCGCAUACGACCUACGGGUGAAAGCAGGGGAUCUUCGGACCUUGCGCGAUUGAAUGAGCCGAUGUCGGAUUAGCUAGUUGGCGGGGUAAAGGCCCACCAAGGCGACGAUCCGUAGCUGGUCUGAGAGGAUGGUCAGCCCAAAUGGAACUGAGACAAGGUCCAGGCUCCUAAGGGAGGCAGCAGUGGGGAAUAUUGGACAAUGGGGGGAAGCCUGAUCCAGCCAUACCGCGUGGGUGAAGGAGGCCUUCGGGGUGGAAAGCCCUUUUGUUGGGAAAGAAAAGCAGCAGGUUAAUACCCCGCUGUUCUGACGGUACCCAAAGAAUAAGCACCGGCUAACUUCGUG